CCUUGAGGGAAAGCUGCUGUCUGAGGGAGCUGCUGUGACUUUCCUAGAGACCUCCUGUUGCCAUGAGGGUGUUGCAUUUAUGUUGUGUGUUGAUUGGCAGGUGUGCAAGGCAAGGAAAGGGCAGAGAGAAAUCUGCAGGAAGAGGAUCUACAUCCAGCAUGGUCCCCUCCCAAGCAGCAGGGCUUUUCUGCCUUGCAUGCUGGCCUACAGAGAGCUUAGGACUGCAAGUACGGACUGUGACAUCCCAGAAGAAGAGAAUGAAAGAAGACGUAGAGCCACUGUUUAUUGCUUUUAUCAUGAUAUGGAAAACUUCAGGAUCUGCAGAUCAUUACUCAGCAACAAGAAACCAGUGGAAUAACAUAAUUCCUACUAGUAACCCAAAGAAAUUUCACCAAUUCUCUCUUAAAACAACAGCAACCAAGUAAAAACAACAGCAAGCUCUAUAGUAUUAUGAUGGUUGUUGAUAGUGUGGAAAUACCUUGGUAUCAGAUUUUUGUAAAAUUCAAACUUGAUAUCACUGUUUCAGACGUACAUUAUCAUGAAUGAGAGCAGAACUUAGUACUGUAACUUUGUUCCAUGGAGCUCUAGGAGUUCCAGGUCUCUAAAAGUUUUGCUUUUUUUUUCUCUUUCUGUCUUGCAGACCUCCUUUAACGCAAUGAAAGAUUUACACAGGUGUGAAAUUCUUCUUUUUCCUAAUGUUACAUUAUCAAAAUUAUUUUAUUUAUCUCUUUAGCUCAUCAAAUUUGAAAUUCAUUUCAACUUUAAGAUGAACUACCUCUACUUUCACCCUUUUGUUAUGUUUUCCUUUAAUUUUACAAAAACAUUUUUCUUUAGGGAGAAUUAUAUAUCCCAUCUGAAUUGGAUAUCCAAAUCAUAUCCCCUUCAGAAGGAGGUGUUUUGGAAAUUUCAGAUCUAAAUCUGAAUUCAGUGCAUCAUCAAGGAUUUAUAGAAGUCGACACCAAAAUCUGGGUGUUGCGUGUGUGUGUGCUUGUGCCUGGAAUUGUUAAGUAAUAAAUGACCUCAGGUUCUUCUAUCAUUCCUCUUUCUCUUGCAGAAAAUAUCAGCCAUCAGUCUUGCUUCUAAAAAAGGAGUACUUUUAUUAGGAGGUAUCUGACCUACUCUUCACCCUAUCAAGGCACUCUGCUUGGAGAAGAGUUUAGGGACAAUGUAGAAAAGGUUACCUGUCCUGGUAACUCAAGGACUCAAGAUGUAUUAUGUAAUUGAGACCAAACUCUGAAUAAACCCUUAAACAGUUAUCUGUUUACUCAAAUUGAAUCUGAAUGGUGAGCCUUCGUUCGCUUGUCCCUGUUUAUUUGAAAAAUGGACUACGAUAAAUUACUGACUUAUUACUGAGGAACAGGAAGAGUUCAGUGGGCAGCAAACCAGCAAAACUCCACUGGAAAUACUGUAUGAAUUCCUGACCUCUGAAAUUGUCACUUUGAUAUCAGUUGACAAUGUCAUUUUAAGCAGCAGAUCUGCUUUUGUACUAGCUCUCUUUGCUGCCUUUUGUAAAGCUUUCUAACACCUUUAUAUUUUUGGUAAGAUUUACUAUUUUGUAUCUUCAGCAAUAGGCAGAAUUUGUACUGCCCCAUUUGAAUUUUCACUUGGACUGCCAGUAGAGAUCCUUCGCUGUCUGGGUAGAGCCACUAUAAAAACAAAGGUUUGAUUUUCUGAAGUUGUUAAGGGAACAGUUGAAGUGCUUUUCAAGGUGCGAACUCAAUGGAGUGCUCAAAGGUCCUGUGGCAGGAAGUACUGCCAUUCAGAUUCGAGAAGCAAAUUCAGUAUGUGUAAUCAACUGUGAUUUCUCCCUGAUUAUCUCAACUAAUUAAGAAGUGUUUUUUUGCAGCUAAUCAGUGGUAUCUGCAAAGAAGUCAUUUGCAUAACUUCAAGUCAAAUUAUGUCAUGAGGACAACUGAACUAAUGUAAACUGGCAUUUACUGUAAAAUUAGCAUGUAUUGCAUUCAAACAGGAAAACAAAGAAGCAGUGGAAAUCUGCCUGCUAGAAACUAGGAAGAGCAGCAUUAACUGAUGGAGUGCAAUAGCUGUGCUAUGUGAAGCAUAUCAAUGCAUGAAGCACAAGGAAUGUAAAUAUGCAAAGGCCAAAAUAUUUGCAGAAAGGGACUCAUUUGACAAAAUUGUAAAUACCAUGGAUUCUGCUGGCUGCCUAACUGUCAUUUUGUCACUGUAUUUUGUCACAGUUCGUGGUUUAAUAUUCCAGUGGGAAACAUCCUUGCUUUCUCAUUUAUAGGAGACUGUUUUUACUUAAAGUAAAUCCACUCUAAAAUUACCUUCUAAUUCAGUAUUAUAACAAGUCUAGAAAACAAAACCAUACACACUUUUGUUGCUCUUCUUUACAAAUGUGAAAUAAUGUGCAUUUCUUAUUAACCUAUUUCUUCAAGUGCCUGACAGUGAAGUCCAUUUUUACCUCUAGGGAUGUGGAGGGGUUUCCAGCUACAAUAAGUCGGGCUGCCAGACAUUUUUUUUGCCUGUCUCAAGCAGUAAAUCUGUCUCAAUCAGUAAAUCCUAUCUGGAAGCUGUGAUUGGAGAAUGAACUCCGCUUGGUGAAGCACUGGAACCUGUGAUUUUUCACAUGGGACAAAAGGUUCAAAGACAUCUGUAAACCUGGUUCUUCACUGAAUAGAAAGAAGACCUCCUUGUGAGCUCAGAUGUUCAGCUACUCUCUGCAUGGAUGAGGCUUAAAGUUAGAACUGGAUUUCUUAACUGAACUUUACACGGGGUGGAUGUACUGACAUUUAACAGAACUAAACAUAUAAAGCAAAUAGUCUCUUAUUGGAACAUUAAAUACUAGUACCCAUUAUUAACAGCAUGGAACAUCAGCAGUUCUAAGAAUAAAUUAAAAUGGAGAUUGAUUCUAGCAAUUAGGCAGGAUCAACCAGUGAGUAACUAAUAUGUGAAUUUAAGACAAUGUCCCUCCACAGUGUUCAUUUUUUAUAGGUACAGAUUGGGGUAACACUUUUCUUAACAAGGAUCACUCAGCUCAUGAAUAUUUAGUGCUCAACAACACAUAGGCUGCAUAAUUUACAUUGUUUUCUUAAAUACACAUCUAAAUUAUUAUGAAAAAUUUUUUGAAAAAAAUUGUUUCAAAGAUCUCAGGAUUUGACAGGCAUGGAAACCAGUGAAUUUAGAAAAGAAAAUAACUCUUAGUAUUCAAACUUGUACUAAAUGCUUAAUCUCUAGCUAUAUCCAGAUCCAGAAAUAAAAUUUCUGCUUUACUCACUGUAUUUAUCUGUACCCCAAAAGCACAUUCUUUUAGUGUGAGUUUGCAAAUUAUAUUUCCCUUCUUUUUCCUUCAGCAGCUCUCUUAAAAACACAUAAGCAUAUGUACCUAACAUUGCUAGAUUGAAGUUCUUUGGCAUAAAAUUUGCUUCCUCCCAGCAUUUUUAAGAAAAUACAAAUGUCUAAAAUUGAAAAGGCUAUUCCUAUCUUUCUGUUUGGUCAAUGUGUUCUUUGUUUCAGUUCAGAAAGUCUGAAUUUGUGCAAACUCCUUCAAAUGCUGUUUCUACUUAUGCCUACUAACCUACCAACAAAUUGUUAGUAUAAAUUUCUAUUUUAAAAUAAUGUUUUAAAUUGCAUACUUUUCAAUUGAAAAUUGUAAGAAAAAUGAAGACACCUCCAUUUCACUGUUACACCGCUUAGAUCAUUGUAUGAUCUUUUUCAAGUCAGCUGAGACACUUUAAUCUAAAAUCAGUGUAAUAACUAGACACUGAUGUAAAUGAAUCAAAUCCUCAAGAUCAUAGAAAAGGAGCUCCACAAUUUAAGGCCAGUAGUCAUUAAAUUACUGAAAACUUGACAGUUUUCAGUUUUCUUGUUUUUCACACUUUUCUUUAUAAAGCCUACUCCUGGCCACAGCAAGUAAAUGGCCACUGAUGUGCCACCAAUCUAAUAUAACUGUGGUUAUCUUCUUAUAACACAGUCUGCAACAAAGGCACAAGAAAGCAGCCAACACCUCAAAGCAGAAUCCCAGUGUAUCCUAGAAAGACUUUUUCCACUCUUCACAUUUCUCUUUAUUUUCUGUUUAUUCAUGUGAAAAAUAAACAAUUUAACUGUCUAAUUUUUUUUUCUGUUUCUGUCCUAAUUCUGCUCAGUGCAUAUAGUAUGUGUAGAUUACUCCAUGUUCCUGAGGUACCUCCAGGCCAGUGUUACAUGUGGAUAUGCAGGAAACCUGCAGGUCUUAUUAAGGUACAGCUUCUGGUUUGCCAUUUACAUAUUUUUGCCUUCUUUCUGUUUUCACUCUUUCUGUCCUAUUUCAGCUGCAGUCAAGCACUUUGACUCCGUGUCUGAG
ensembl:lncRNA